ACAUUUCUCAAAAGAAAAACUUAAAAUAACAUCUAUCAAACACUGUGUAGUUAAAGCUCACAUUCAGAUUUCCUGUUUCUUUGUUCUUCUCUUUAAACACAAUGUAUCUACAGUCAGGCAUAAACAACAAUGUUAUAUUAUCACAUUUCUAUCAUUUUUCUCUCUUUUAAUAAGCUUUUGUUUAUUAUAUGUUUACAGGAGCAUCUCCAGAACCGUACAUCAGGACUCUGAAAGCCACAGCUGACUGGGCCCUGCUGCAGUGUGAGGUCCGAAGGGCGGCUCCAAAACCUAGAGUGGAGUGGAAGGACAGUGCUGGAAACACACUUCCUGCUGAGGAACCACAGACCUCAGAAAGAGGAGGCAGCUACUACAUCACUCUCAUCACUACUGUGACCAAGACAGACAACUACAGUUGUGUAGUAACACAGGAGGAAAUCAGCCAUCAGACUCACGCUGAGACCUUUGUGCUUAUCAGUGGGAAAGAGGGUGAGGACUCACCCAGUAAAGUGGCCGGAUGGAUGUUUGGUGGAUUUGUUUUGGGAGCUCUGACUCUUGCUAUAGUUCAAGUUCUGCUUAAAGUCACAAAGAUCAUCACAAUACGCUGCAAUAAAGGUAAGUUUAGUCUAAUUCUAAGGAAUUUGAAUCCUAGCCUUUGUAUGUGGUUAUUAUAACACGGCUAUGAACCAAUCAGAUUUGAUUUGAGCUGCCUGUUUGUAUAACAGACUUUUGAUGAAAUGUAAAUCUAUUUGUUUUGGCCACCAAAAUAAUAUCUGUAUAAUACAAAGGUUGACUUUAUGGAAUGUAUACUUUUCUUUGCUGCAGGUUCUCGUCAGCAGGGGAAGGGUUUGCGUGAAGAGGGAAACGGUUUGAUCAAACAGGGAAACGGUUUGAUCAAACAGGGAAACGGUUUGAUCAACCAGGGAAACGGUUUGAUCAAACAGGGAAACGGUUUGAUCAAACAGGGAAACGGUUCAUGUGAAGAGCUUUCAGAGAUGUUAGAUCCAAACAUGUCUCCCCGAAGUAGCACAAAUAAACAACCAACGUCAGCUCACAGUGCUGUGUAAGCAAACAAGUAACGUCAGCUCCGGAUGGGAACGUAGCACAUUUUGAGUUGAGGUACCAGGGUAAGCCAAUCAGAGGCGGAGUAAGGCAUCCGCAACCGCCGGUAGUUUUCCUAAAAAAACAUCUUCACAAAGAUUACAAUGACAAACUCAGUGUUUGAUAAUUCAAGUAGAAUUCUAUCAGUAAUACAGUCACACCUCCUAAACUGAAUAUUUUCAUUUAACAAUAUUCAUAAGUAUCCAUUAUAGGAAAUAACUUAUCAGUGAAUGACGACCAUAGUAAGUUUGAUCAACCAGGGAAUCGGUUCAUGUGAAGAGUGUUCAGAUCUGCUACAUUCACAAAAUGGUCGAUGACUUUAAGUCUGUUUUAAAGGUGUUUGUGUGUUUAACUUUAAUCUAUCUUUGUGAGAACCAGUUAGAAUUUUUGAAUUUGUGCGGUCCUCACUUUCAGACAGACUCAGAAAAGCCUGUUUGAGGGUUCAGACCUGGUUUUAGAUUCAGGUCAGAAUCAGGUCUGGGUUAAACAUUUAGAUGUGAAGUUUGAUGUUAAGGAACGUUUAUUUCAACGAGUGUCCUCACAAGUAUAGAAGUACGGUGUGUUUGUGUGUCUGUAAAUAAUGUUCAGUGUAAAUAUGCAAUCUGUUCCCUUAAAGGAGAUCUUUGUGAGACUUAUUAUGGUCUGUUGUUGGUUGGACCUACAGAGUGAGUUUGACAAAAUAAAUAUUACAAUAUAACUUACAACAACAAGAAAAAUCAACAACAUAAUCUACACUCUGACAGAUCAACAAAGAUAUAAUACGGUUACACAAAGAUCAUAUUUAUUUCAGGGAUUUUUAUUUUGUUGCUGUAGGUCAACAUGAUUGUUAAGCUCUCUGCAUGAUGCUUUUUAUAGUUUUUGUUUGUUUGUAUUUUAUCUUGUUUUUCACCAUCUGAUCUUAUAUUUUCCCUCUCACACUGGACGGUUGUUACAGACUUUACAGCAGCUAAAUGAACGAGAUGAAGCUCCAAAGAAACUCAACAAAAACAGUGAAAGUUACCAAAGUGAUAAUGAGGUGAACAAAACCUAAAAAAAAAUAAAAUAAAAUCAUUACCUAUGUUAAAGUGGUAAUAAGAAAAAAAAUUAAGAAAAAGAAAGUAAGUAAGUUAAAGUAACUUGCUUUUUUUAGAUUGAUCCUCUCAGUUGUUGUUUUGUGAAGCAGUUUGUAACAUCUGUUACAUGAAAAGUUCUAUGUAAAUAUCUAUUAUUAUAAAUAAUGUAAAUAAAUCUAGUUAAUUUACAUUUAUGAGGUGUGAAUUGAUCUGAGGAACCGUCUAAUCAAAAUGUCAGAUGAUAGAAGUUAGUUGGAGAUAAUGAUGGUCUGACGAUUUCAUUGUAAAAAGAUACUUUUAAAAAGAUUACUUGUGUGUAAAUAUUUUUUAACUUGGAAUGUAUGUUUUUUUUAUUGGAGAAGAUUUUUUGAUAAAAGCAUGUAUAAUGGAUUUGUUAGACAUUCAAAUAUGCUAUGGUGUCUUUAUGGUAUGUGGGCUGACUGCCUUAUAGCAUUGCAUAAUGUUAUUCUUAUACUCCAGUGCAGCUUGUGAAAUGCAGUUUAAUACUCUAUUCAUUGUGAAUAUAAAAUAAAAUAUAUAUUUAAAAA
rnacentral:lncRNA from 1 species